ACGCUGGCGGCGUGCCUAAUACAUGCAAGUCGAACGCACAGCGAAAGGUGCUUGCACCUUUCAAGUGAGUGGCGAACGGGUGAGUAACACGUGGACAACCUGCCUCAAGGCUGGGGAUAACAUUUGGAAACAGAUGCUAAUACCGAAUAAAACUUAGUGUCGCAUGACAUAAAGUUAAAAGGCGCUUCGGCGUCACCUAGAGAUGGAUCCGCGGUGCAUUAGUUAGUUGGUGGGGUAAAGGCCUACCAAGACAAUGAUGCAUAGCCGAGUUGAGAGACUGAUCGGCCACAUUGGGACUGAGACACGGCCCAAACUCCUACGGGAGGCUGCAGUAGGGAAUCUUCCACAAUGGGCGAAAGCCUGAUGGAGCAACGCCGCGUGUGUGAUGAAGGCUUUCGGGUCGUAAAGCACUGUUGUAUGGGAAGAACAGCUAGAAUAGGAAAUGAUUUUAGUUUGACGGUACCAUACCAGAAAGGGACGGCUAAAUACGUGCCAGCAGCCGCGGUAAUACGUAUGUCCCGAGCGUUAUCCGGGAUUUAUUGGGCGGUAAAGCGAGCGCAGACGGUUUAUUAAGUCUGAUGUGAAAGCCCGGAGCUCAACUCCGGAAUGGCAUUGGAAACUGGUUAACUUGAGUGCAGUAGAGGUAAGUGGAACUCCAUGUGUAGCGGUGGAAUGCGUAGAUAUAUGGAAGAACACCAGUGGCGAAGGCGGCUUACUGGACUGCAACUGACGUUGAGGCUCGAAAGUGUGGGUAGCAAACAGGAUUAGAUACCCUGGUAGUCCACACCGUAAACGAUGAACACUAGGUGUUAGGAGGUUUCCGCCUCUUAGUGCCGAAGCUAACGCAUUAAGUGUUCCGCCUGGGGAGUACGACCGCAAGGUUGAAACUCAAAGGAAUUGACGGGGACCCGCACAAGCGGUGGAGCAUGUGGUUUAAUUCGAAGCAACGCGAAGAACCUUACCAGGUCUUGACAUCCUUUGAAGCUUUUAGAGAUAGAAGUGUUCUCUUCGGAGACAAAGUGACAGGUGGUGCAUGGUCGUCGUCAGCUCGUGUCGUGAGAUGUUGGGUUAAGUCCCGCAACGAGCGCAACCCUUAUUGUUAGUUGCCAGCAUUCAGAUGGGCACUCUAGCGAGACUGCCGGUGACAAACCGGAGGAAGGCGGGGACGACGUCAGAUCAUCAUGCCCCUUAUGACCUGGGCUACACACGUGCUACAAUGGCGUAUACAACGAGUUGCCAACCCGCGAGGGUGAGCUAAUCUCUUAAAGUACGUCUCAGUUCGGAUUGUAGUCUGCAACUCGACUACAUGAAGUCGGAAUCGCUAGUAAUCGCGGAUCAGCACGCCGCGGUGAAUACGUUCCCGGGUCUUGUACACACCGCCCGUCACACCAUGGGAGUUUGUAAUGCCCAAAGCCGGUGGCCUAACCUUUUAGGAAGGAGCCGUCUAAGGCAGGACAGAUGACUGGGGUGAAG
rnacentral:rRNA from 1 species